rnacentral:rRNA from 1 species
CAGUCGCCGCGGGAAUACGAAGGGUGCAAGCGUUAAUCGGAAUUACUGGGCGUAAAGCGUGCGCAGGCGGUUAUAUAAGACAGAUGUGAAAUCCCCUGGCUCAACCUGGGACCUGCAUUUGUGACUGUAUAGCUAGAGUACGGUAGAGGGGGGUGGAAUUCCGCGUGUAGCAGUGAAAUGCGUAGAUAUGCGGAGGAACACCGAUGGCGAAGGCAAUCCCCUGGACCUGUACUGACGCUCAUGCACGAAAGCGUGGGGAGCAAACAGGAUUAGAUACCCCCGUAGUCCCUGUCUUUUAUAA